rnacentral:rRNA from 1 species
GUAAGGAGAAGCUCUUGAUUGGAACCCCCAGUAAAACGGCGGCCGUAACUAUAACGUUCCUAAGGUAGCGAAAUCCUGUCGGGUAAGUUCCGACCUGCACGAAUGGCGUAUUGAUGGCCAGGCUGUCUCCACCCGAGACUCAGUGAAAUUGAACUCGCUGUGAAGAUGCAGUGUACCCCGCGGCAAGACGGAAAGACCCCGUGAACCUUUUACUAUAGCUUGACACUGAACAUUGAGCCUUGAUGUGUAGGAUAGGUGGGAGGCUUUGAAGUGUGGACGCCAGUCUGCAUGGAGCCAACCUUGAAAUACCACCCUUUAAUGUUUGAUGUUCUAACGUAGCCCCCAUAAUCUGGGGUGCGGACAGUGUCUGGUGGGUAGUUUGACUGGGGCGGUCUCCUCCCAAAGCGUAACGGAGGAGCACGAAGGUUGGCUAAGCAUGGUCGGACAUCAUGCGGUUAGUGCAAAGGCAUAAGCCAGCUUGACUGCGAGAGUGACGGCUCGAGCAGGUACGAAAGUAGGUCUUAGUGAUCCGGUGGUUCUGAAUGGAAGGGCCAUCGCUCAACGGAUAAAAGGUACUCCGGGGAUAACAGGCUGAUACCGCCCAAGAGUUCAUAUCGACGGCGGUGUUUGGCACCUCGAUGUCGGCUCAUCACAUCCUGGGGCUGAAGUAGGUCCCAAGGGUAUGGCUGUUCGCCAUUUAAAGUGGUACGCGAGCUGGGUUUAGAACGUCGUGAGACAGUUCGGUCCCUAUCUGCCGUGGGCGUUGGAAGAUUGAAAGGGGCUGCUCCUAGUACGAGAGGACCGGAGUGGACGCACCGCUGGUGUUCGGGUUGUCAUGCCAAUGGCACUGCCCGGUAGCUAAGUGCGGAAGAGAUAACCGCUGAAAGCAUCUAAGCGGGAAACUUGCCUUGAGAUGAGUCUUCCCUGACUCUUUAAGGGUCCUAAAGGAACGUUUAAGACGAAGACGUUGAUAGGCUGGGUGUGUAAGCGUAGCGAUACGUUGAGCUAACCAAUACUAAUGAACCGUGAGGCUUAACCUG